rnacentral:rRNA from 1 species
AUAGCCUACGGGGGGCAGCAGUGGGGGAUAUUGCACAAUGGGGGAAACCCUGAUGCAGCGACGCCGCGUGGGCGAAGAAGUAUUUCGGUAUGUAAAGCCCUAUCAGCAGGGAAGAAGAAAUGACGGUACCUGAGUAAGAAGCACCGGCUAAAUACGUGCCAGCAGCCGCGGUAAUACGUAUGGUGCAAGCGUUAUCCGGAUUUACUGGGUGUAAAGGGAGCGUAGACGGCAGCGCAAGUCUGGAGUGAAAUGCCGGGGCUCAACCCCGGAACUGCUUUGGAAACUGUGCAGCUAGAGUGCGGGAG